rnacentral:rRNA from 1 species
UUGUACCCCACUAUACCUAGCUGUAAACCUCGAUGGACCAACCACGCCCCCCAUCCGCCAGAGAACUACGAGUGAAAAGCUUAAAACUCUAAGGACUUGACGGUGCCCCACAUCAACCUAGAGGAGCCUGUCCUAUAAUCGAUACUCCACGUUAAACCUCUCCCCCCCUAGUAUUAAACCAGCCUAUAUACCGCCGUCGCCAGCUUGCCUAGUGAUAGACACAAAGCAGGCAAAAUAGUACAACCACUAGCACGUCAGGUCAAGGUGUAGCUCAUGGGGCGGUUAGAGAUGGGCUACAUUUUCUAACCACUAGAAAACACUUCAGGCACUAUGAAACACAAGCCGUUCGGCGGAUUUAGUAGUAAAUCUAGACAAGAACUGCCUAAUUGAAACAUGCCCUGGGGCGCGUACACCCGC